UCUAAAUUAUUUUAUUUGAGUAUGUGAAACUAAAUUUUCAUGAAAGUAAGAAGAGUAGAAUAUUAAUAGUAUGGUUAAGUGGAUUCUAGGAUAUGUUUGACAUAUAUGUUUUGUUCUAUAUGAUAUGUGCUAGAUUAUUGCUAGUUGACUUGUGCUUUUGGUUAUUUGUAAGUUAUAGUGAAUAACUAUGCUAUUUUCUAUAAGAUGAAUUUGAUAAAUGUGUUGCACAAGUUGACUAUUUUAUUUUGUCAUGUUAGUUAUCAUGUUAAGAUAGAUAUAUUCUAUGCUUAUGUGAAUAUGAAUUGUUGAAUUUUUAAAAUUCAUUGCUAUGAAAUAUUUAUCUUUUCUUGUAUUGAUUUGAUUCUCAAUUUUGAGAUUUAGAGAAGAUAUAUGUUUCUUGAAUGUCUAUGUGAAAUGCUAUGUUUUGCUUUUGUGCAAUUUUAUAUAGAUGUUCAUGUUUUGUAUUUCGUAGUUUACCCAUUGUAUGCGACAUGUGUGUAAACAUUGUCGAUACUAGUUUCUUUCGUGGGAGCUAGUUAGAGAACCGUAGAAGUCUCCAGUUAGGUAUGAGAGUUGAGAAUUACAAUAGGAGUUAUAAGUGGGUUUGAGAUAAGUGGGGGAGAAGGUUAAAUUCCUUUGAGAUGUUUAAGUGUAGAAGAAUAAGAUAGAUAGAGAUGUCCGAAGGAGAGCGUUCAUGUGUUGGUGUUGUCCAUUUCGGAGUUAGAUGAUUUGUAAGAACAGUUAGAAGACCGUUGGAGAAGAAGUUUGUCGGAUCGAUUGUUUUGCCAUGAAGAGCGUCAUUGUUGUUAAGUAAGAAGAGAGGAUGAAGUAUGAGAAAAUCGGUGGAGAUUAGUAAGAUCAAAUUCAUUAUGUUUGGAAUAAUGAAGAAAUGUGUAGAGUAAAGUGUAGUAUGUGAUGAGAAAAUAAAGGAUUUCGGAUAUUGUAAUCGUGAGUAGUUGAACAAUAUUUAAGUAAUACAACUUAAGAGAUGUUUGGAUAUUAGUAUCUCGACAAAAGAAGUGAUAUUGGAAACUGUGAUGAGAGAUGAACGUGAAGUAAUGAUUUGGAAACAAGGUAAUGGUGUUGUAGUUCGACUUAAGAAAUUGAGUUUGGUGUGAAAGGAAUAAUCGUAUUGUUAACGACGUAGUUUCGAUGUUUAUUAGUGGGAUUUAGAACUAGAUGUUGUGCUGAAAAACUUAAGACUGUGGUUUGGAUAAGAAUUGAACAUAUUCAGAUUAAAAGGAACUAAGAGACUAAAAGGAACUAAGAGACUAAAAGGAAAAAGAAGGAACUUGUGGAAACUUGUAAAGUUGUGAAAGUUAUCAACAUAGAUGAGAUAUUUUCGGAGUGAAAUGGAUUGAGUGGUACUUGUUGUGGAAUGUUACCUUUCGGAUGUUUUGUGCUUAUGAAAGCACUAUUGUAGUUUGGUAAAGAUGGUUUAUGCCAUCAUCAUUAUUAUUGGCUAUUUAUUGACAAAUUGAGGAAUUGGCCGUCCUUGAUCUCUUAUUAAUAAGUAGACGAAAAUUGUGUUGAUUGGAUAAGACUAAUUUUGUCAAACUUUAGUAGUGUAUAGAGUUUUGGAUAUUUUAUUGGAGAAUUGAAUGAAGGUGGUCUUAUGCGGUUUGUUUUAGUCGGACAAUUUUCGAGGGCGAAAAUUCUUUAAGUGGGGGAGAGUUGUAACAUCCCGAUUUUAUUAAUAGGUCAUUUAUUAAUUUAAUUGUGUGUAUUUUAUUAUGGAGGAUAUUAUAAUCAUAAUAGAUAUUAAAUAGUUGAGAGUUGUAGACUAAAUUAGAGUCAAUAUAAUUAAUGAGUAGAAAUUAAGUAAUUAGACUAAAAUGAGCAUUGAGCCUAAGAGGUGUUGGGGGGUGAGUUGAGUAAAGAGGGGGUGUAGGGAGUAACUAGUAAAAACCUAGUAUAAAAGGAAAGAAUUAGUAAGAGAAUUCAAUUUCUCUUGAAACAUAGAACAGGGAAAGAAGGAGGCUUUGGGAGAAAGAAAGAAAAGAGAAAGAAAGAAAGAAAAGAGAAGAAAAGUCUAGGAGAUUAGAAGAAGCUCAAGAGAGGGAUUAGAGAUUUCAACUUAUUAAGGUUCUCAGGUUGUAUGUUUGUUGGUGUUCGCGUUGUUGGUGAAAGCUCUGCUCUGAUUGUGACACGAGGAAGAGUUCAUAGAGUCUUUAUUUGUUGUUGUUUUAUUUAAAUUAAAUGUGUAUAUUGUAUAAAAGGAAUUUUGCACAAGUGAUAUUUACUACUCAAUGUUAUUAGUAGUGUUUUUUUUUUGUAAUGAAGAAUGUAACACCUUGAGCCAAUA